rnacentral:rRNA from 1 species
AUUGAACGCUGGCGGAAUGCUUUACACAUGCAAGUCGAACGGCAGCACGGACUUCGGUCUGGUGGCGAGUGGCGAACGGGUGAGUAAUGUAUCGGAACGUGCCCAGUCGUGGGGGAUAACGUAGUGAAAAUUACGCUAAUACCGCAUACGAUCUAUGGAUGAAAGCGGGGGAUCGCAAGACCUCGCGCGAUUGGAGCGGCCGAUAUCAGAUUAGGUAGUUGGUGGGGCAAAGGCCCACCAAGCCAACGAUCUGUAGCUGGUCUGAGAGGACGACCAACCAAACUGGAACUGAGAAACGGUCCAGGCUCCUACGUGCGGCAGCAGUGGGGAAUUUUGGACAAUGGGCGAAAGCCUGAUCCAGCCAUUCCGCGUGCAGGAUGAAGGCCCUCGGGUUGUAAACUGCUUUUGUACAGAACGAAAAGGUUUCUACUAAUACUAGGAGCUCAUGACGGUACUGUAAGAAUAAGCACCGGCUAACUACGUGCCAGCCGCCGCGGUAA